rnacentral:tRNA from 1 species
GCUUCUAAAGGAUAACAGCUCAUCCGUUGGUCUUAGGAACCAAAAACUCUUGGUGCAAAAGUAGUAGCU